AUCGCUUCUCGGCCUUUUGGCUAAGAUCAAGUGUAGUAUCUGAAGGAAAAUCUGGAUGGUACAUCACGGUAGUCACCACAGUUCUAACAGGAUCUGUGGGUUUUGGUAAAUAGGCUCAGCUCUCUUAUAACCUGCCACCGAGGAAGUUGAAUAAAUACUCCAACCUCACAGUCCUCCAGACUUC
ensembl:snRNA U2 U2 spliceosomal RNA